AAAAUCCGGGUCACAUAUAGCCUGAGACGUGAUGCGUAGCCGAUUGAGGCGAAUUCAGUGAUCCUAUGCUGCCGAGAAAAGCCUCUAGCGAGCUUUCACACGGCCCGUACCCCAAACCGACACAGGUGGUCAGGUAGAGAAUACUAAGGCAAUCGAGAUAACUAUGGUUAAGGAACUCGGCAAAAUGCCCCCGUAACUUCGGGAGAAGGGGGGCCCUGUCUGGUGACGACAUUUACUGUCUGAGCUGGGUGGGGCCGCAGAGACCAGUGAGAAGCGACUGUCUACUAAAAACACAGGUCCGUGCGAAGUCGUAAGACGAUGUAUACGGACUGACGCCUGCCCGGUGCUGGAAGGUUAAGAGGACCGGUUAGUUCCUUCGGGAGCGAAGCUGAGAAUUUAAGCCCCAGUAAACGGCGGUGGUAACUAUAACCAUCCUAAGGUAGCGAAAUUCCUUGUCGGGUAAGUUCCGACCUGCACGAAUGGCGUAACGACUUCUCAGCUGUCUCAACCGUAGACUCGGCGAAAUUGCAUUACGAGUAAAGAUGCUCGUUACGCGCGGCAGGACGAAAAGACCCCGGGACCUUCACUACAGCUUGGUAUUGGUGUUCGGAUCGGUUUGUGUAGGAUAGGUGGGAGACUGUGAAACGGUGACGCCAGUUAUCGUGGAGUCGUUGUUGAAAUACCACUCUGAUCGAAUUGGACCUCUAACCUCGGACCAUGAUCUGGUUCAGGGACAGUGCCUGGUGGGUAGUUUAACUGGGGCGGUUGCCUCCCAAAAUGUAACGGAGGCGCCCAAAGGUUCCCUCAGCCUGGUUGGCAAUCAGGUGUCGAGUGCAAGUGCACAAGGGAGCUUGACUGUGAGACUGACAGGUCGAGCAGGGACGAAAGUCGGGACUAGUGAUCCGGCACCGGCAAGUGGAAGCGGUGUCGCUCAACGGAUAAAAGGUACCCCGGGGAUAACAGGCUGAUCUUCCCCAAGAGUCCAUAUCGACGGGAUGGUUUGGCACCUCGAUGUCGGCUCGUCGCAUCCUGGGGCUGGAGUAGGUCCCAAGGGUUGGGCUGUUCGCCCAUUAAAGCGGCACGCGAGCUGGGUUUAGAACGUCGUGAGACAGUUCGGUCUCUAUCCGCCGCGCGCGUUAGAAACUUGAGGAAGGCUGUCCCUAGUACGAGAGGACCGGGACGGACGAACCUCUGGUGUGCCAGUUGUUCCGCCAGGAGCACCGCUGGUUAGCUACGUUCGGAAGGGAUAACCGCUGAAUGCAUCUAAGCGGGAAGCCUGUUCCAAGAUGAGGUUUCUCACCCCCUCGAGGGGGUAAGGCCCCCGGCAGACCACCGGGUUGAUAGGCCAGAACUGGAAGUGCAGUAAUGCAUGCAGGUGACUGGUACUAAUAGGCCGAGGACUC
rnacentral:rRNA from 1 species